UCAAACUUGGUCAUUUAGAGGAAGUAAAAGUCGUAACAAGGUCUCCGUUGGUGAACCAGCGGAGGGAUCAUUACCGAGUUUACAACUCCCAACCCUAUGUGAACAUACCUAUCGUUGCUUCGGCGGGACCGCCCCGGCACGCCCCCUCGGGGGCUCCGCCCGGAACCAGGCGCCCGCCGGGGACCCAGUAACCCUUGUUUUAUUACGUGUCUCCUCUGAGUGGCGAAAGCAAAACAAAUAAAUCAAAACUUUCAACAACGGAUCUCUUGGCUCUGGCAUCGAUGAAGAACGCAGC
rnacentral:misc_RNA from 1 species